rnacentral:rRNA from 1 species
AGUGAACGCUGGCGGUAGGCCUAACACAUGCAAGUCGAACGGCAGCACAGUAAGAGCUUGCUCUUACGGGUGGCGAGUGGCGGACGGGUGAGGAAUACAUCGGAAUCUACUUUUUCGUGGGGGAUAACGUAGGGAAACUUACGCUAAUACCGCAUACGACCUACGGGUGAAAGCAGGGGAUCUUCGGACCUUGCGCGAUUGAAUGAGCCGAUGUCGGAUUAGCUAGUUGGCGGGGUAAAGGCCCACCAAGGCGACGAUCCGUAGCUGGUCUGAGAGGAUGAUCAGCCACACUGGAACUGAGACACGGUCCAGACUCCUACGGGAGGCAGCAGUGGGGAAUAUUGGACAAUGGGCGCAAGCCUAAUCCAGCCAUACCGCGUGGGUGAAGAAGGCCUUCGGGUUGUAAAGCCCUUUUGUUGGGAAAGAAAAGCAGCAGGUUAAUACCCCGCUGUUCCGACGGUACCCAAAGAAUAAGCACCGGCUAACUUCGUG